UGACAAACACUCAAGUGGACCAAGUGCGUGGGAGCAUACAUCCUAAUGUGGUCGGCAACUGCUGGAUUCUCAAGGACUCUGCCCCAAGAUGUUAUUGACAGCAACCUGUCUGACCUCGUAAAAUAAAGGAAGAUAAAUGAGGAAAGAAACUGCGAGAGGAUACAACAAGCCAAAUGCCUGUCUGUUUGCCCUUGUGCCAAGCAACAGUAUUGUCUCAGCUGCACGAGUUAUGUAACGUUGAACAGGCGAGAAAAUGUCCGAACACUGAACUAGAAGGAAUACGUGAAGAAACGGCAAUGGCGUAUUUCAAGGCCUGGCCGUUCCCAGCACAAUCCGUGAUCGAUGUAGUCGAAUUCACGAUUACACUAGUAUGUUGUCACGUAGAUGCUCGCGGGACGGGUCGCGUCUCUUGACCUGCGCGCGGCCCUAACAACGUCUGCACUCUUUGGGAAACGACCCAUCAGACGCGGAAGGCCGGAGUCACCUGAGAGUUCCCUAGGAACUUCCAGAACAGCGACGAGCAUGUAAUAAGGCGUUCACUAGUUCGCACAAUACCAAGACUCGGUUUAUUGUAGCGCAUAGCCGAUGAGUCAGUAGUGAGUUAGUGCAGUGCAGAGCAGAUGAGUCAGUAGUGAGUUAGUGCAGUGCAGAGCAGAUGCGUCAGUAGUGAGUUAGUGCAGUACAGAGCAGAUGAGUCAGUAGAACAGUCGCAUUUCAUUUAGUCAUUGAUUCAGGAAGCCAGUUAGGGCUGGAACACACACAGCGACAUCGGUCCUAUGAUGUCCGUACCGUUCAUGUCGCAUCAAGUAGUAGAAUAUAAAGUGUAGUCUUAGCUUUCUCAUACGUGACAACAUGCAACAUCUACCGUACGACAGUCGGAGAGCAAAGAAGAGUGAAAAGGAGGUCGUACGGCAAAAUAAUCGUACAUUUUUCCGUGCGACCGAUGUCGCUGUAUGUGUUCCAGCCCUUAGUAAGUGAGUCAGUAUUCAGUGCAGUGAAAUCGGUAUGAGUGGGUGCAAAAAGUGAGCAGUGGCGUUAUGUAAAAUACAGUGAACAUUGUGAUAAACGGAAAGAGCAUAAGAAGUUGCAGGGUUCGUUGAACAGGCAGGACCUUUCUUCUGUAAAGUCGCCUACUCAAAACAAAGGCAAAG